GAUCAAGACAUGUGCGGACUGGAAAAUCCCUACUCCUAGUUCGCAAUCCUCAACCCUCAGUCGCCUGCAAGCAUCUCGUCGUGACCACUACUGCGGCCGGCCCCACCAAGCCUAGUCCCCGUUCGGCCCUUCGCCGUUGCACGAUUUCCCGACUCUCUACCGCUCAAAUCUCGUCAUCGUCAUCGAGUUUACCACCGAUCCUAUGUGUAGCACGCAAAGUGUGCUAUUAGAAAUAUUACAUAAUUUUAAAAAUUAAAAUUUUGAUGGCACGCUUUCUGUGCUCGCUAUUAAAAGUCUUACCCAUGUGUUUUUAAUCCUGCCAGCACCGAAUCAUACAUCGAAAACCCUCCCUUGCCGAACCCGCGGGCGAGCGCUCUAGCCCUUUCUUCCCUAUUUUCGGAGCAUCUCGUCGUGACCAUUUCUACCGCUGAUCCCACCAAGCCUCGUCGCAUCUUAGUCCCCCAUUAGGCCCUUCGCCGUUGCACGAUUUCCCGUCUCUCUACUGCUUGAAUCUCGUCAUCAACAUCGAGUCUACCACCGAUCCUAUGUGUUUUUAGGGACCUCCUGAAGCCCUAUGCGUGCAGAGAAAGGUAAAUUGGUAACUUGCUUUGGCAUAAAGGAUCUUGGGUUGUUUCCAAGUUGUCAUGUUAGAUGGGUUGAAGGGAUGACUCCUAUUUUUUCUCGUUCUGCAUGGCAUUGUGUGUGGCACCUCAUACAGGGAAAUCCAAUUGCAUAUCUUUUUAUAUUCAGCUGAUGUAGUGGACGUGUAUUGCCCACAAGGUCCUGGUAAUGGACCUAGCUAGGCAAGAACCUACUCUUUGCCAUGUCAUUUUUGAUGCAGAAAGGAAAUUCGUCUUCAAAUCUUUACCUUGUGGUUCCUCAUGGUGCAAUCCCAAAAUUGAAGAAGUGCACUAUUCAUGUAUUCACAGGACAAAAUAAUCCAAAGCUAUCUGGAUAAAGAGAGACAAUGUAGACUUUCUUUGACAGUUGAUAAAUCUAAGCACAGAGAGGGUAUAUAAUUAUGUGCACCAGUAAAUCUUUUUAGUUAUCUGCGAUAAUAAGUUCCUUUUCAAUUAUUUCUAAUGUUAUAUUAGCUUUGAAUGUAAAAGAUGUAUCAUUAGUAUUUCAUUUACAAAAUUGACUCAAAUAUUUAUUAGAUGGAUAAAAAUUAAAAUUAUGUAUUCGCUUUUGAUUGUAUU